GAUGAGUCAAUGGAAUUGAACUGUUACCUUUUUUGGACACCACACUCAGUACACUGGAGGAGGGGGAGAAGUGUAGGGGUAAUGGUGAACAGGAGGUGGUGGAGAUUUGUACUUGUAAACUGGAGGAGGUGGUGGGGGAGAUGUGUACUUGUAGACAGGUGUUGGAGGUGGCGGCGGCGGCGGUGACUUGUAUUUAUAGACUGGUUUUGGUGGUGGUGGUGGUGGUGACUUGUACUUGUACACUGGCUUAGGUGGUGGUGGUGGUGGAGACUUGUACUUGUACACUGGCUUAGGGGGUGGUGGAGGAGGUGAUUUGUACUUAUACACUGGUUUUGGUUUUGGGGAUGGUGGUGGUGGUGACAUGUAUUUGUACACUGGCUUUGGGGGCGGUGGGGGUGGUGACUUGUAUUUGUACACUGGCUUUGGGGGCGGUGGGGGUGGUGACUUGUAUUUGUACACUGGCUUUGGUGGAGGUGGUGGUGGAGAUUUGUACUUAUAGACUGGGGUCGGAGGGGGUGGCGGGGGUGACUUGUACUUGUACACUGGCUUUGGAGGGGGUGGUGGGGGUGAUUUGUACUUAUACACUGGCUUUGGAGGGGGUGGUGGUGGGGACUUGUACUUGUAGACUGGCUUUGGUGGUGGUGGAGAUUUGUAGUGAUAAGGAGGAUACACCACAUGAUUUGGGGGUGGUGGUGGAGACUUGUACUUGUACAGCGGCUUUGGAGGGGGUGGUGGUGGAGACUUGUACUUGUACACUGGCUUUGGAGGGGGUGGUGGUGGAGACUUGUACUUGUAAACUGGCUUAGGUGGUGGUGGUGGUGGAGACUUGUACUUGUACACCGGUUUUGGUGGUGGCGGUGGUGGAGACUUGUACUUGUACACCGGUUUUGGUGGUGGCGGUGGUGGAGACUUGUACUUGUAGACUGGCUUUGGCGGCGGUGGUGGUGGAGACAUGUAGUGAUAAGGAGGAUACACUACAUGCUUUGGGGGUGGUGGUGGAGGAGAUUUGUACUUGUACACUGGUUUUGGUGGUGGUGGUGGUGGAGACUUGUACUUGUACACUGGUUUCGGGGGUGGGGGUGGUGGAGACUUGUACUUGUACACUGGUUUCGGGGGUGGUGGUGGUGGUGGUGGAGAUUUGUAGUGAUAAGGCGGAUAAACCACGUGUUUUGGGGGUGGUGGUGGUGGUGGUGAUUUAUAGUGGUAAGGAGGAUAUACAACAUGCUUUGGUGGUGGUGGCGGCGAUACAUAGUGGUAAGGUGGUGGUGGAGAGUACUUAGGGGGAGGGGGAGAGACAUAGUGGUAAGGAGGUGGUGGAGAGUACUUAGGGGGAGGGGGAGAGACAUAGUGGUAAGGAGGUGGUGGUGAGUACACUGGAGGGGGAGUAGUGUAAUGGUACCAAUGCUGGAAAAGAUUGAGUUCAGCAUUUGCCUGCAAAGGCAGCAAUGUGGAUAGUAAGACAACAGCCAAAGCCAAAACAUAGAAAGAGGCCACUGAGGCCAUCUUUCCCCCU
rnacentral:lncRNA from 1 species